rnacentral:rRNA from 1 species
CAUUUUGUCGAACGAGAUUAUUCUUUAUAGCUUGCUAUGGGGACAAUUAGUGGCAGACGGGUGAGUAAUGCAUAGGAAUCUACCUAGUAGUAUAGGAUAGCCACUAGAAGUGGUGGGUAAUACUGUAUAAUCCCUGCGGGGGAAAGAUUUAUCGCUACAUGAUGAGCCUAUGUUAGAUUAGCUAGUUGGUGGGGUAAUGGCCUACCAAGGCAGUGAUCUAUAGCUGGUCUGAGAGGAUGAUCAGCCACACUGGAACUGAGACACGGUCCAGACUCCUACGGGAGGCAGCAGUGGGGAAUAUUGGACAAUGGGCGCAAGCCUGAUCCAGCUAUGCCGCGUGAGUGAGGAAGGCCUUAGGGUUGUAAAACUCUUUCAGUAGGGAAGAUAAUGACGGGUACCUAUAA